rnacentral:rRNA from 1 species
GAUGAACGCUGGCGGCGUGCCUAAUACAUGCCAGUCGAGCGAACAGAUGAGGAGCUUGCUCCUCUGACGUUAGCGGCGGACGGGUGAGUAACACGUGUAUAACCUACCUAUCAGACUGGGAUAACUUCGGGAAACCGGAGCUAAUACCGGAUAAUAUAUUGAACCGCAUGGUUCAAUAGUGAAAGACGGUUUUGCUGUCACUUAUCGAUGGAUCCCGGCCGCAUUAGCUAGUUGGUAGGGUAACGGCUUACCAAGGCUACGAUGCGUAGCCGACCUGAGAGGGUGAUCGGCGACACGGGAACGGAGACACGGUCCAGACGCCUGCGGGAGGCAGCAGUAGGGAAUGGUCCGCAAUGGGCGAAAGCAUGACGGAGCAACGCCGCGUGAGUGAUGGAGGUCUUCGGAGCGUAAAACUCUGUUAUUAGGGAAGAACAAAUGUGUAAGUAAAUAUACACGUCUUGACGGUACCUAAUCAGAAAGCAACGGCUAACUACGUG